GUCCACGCCGUAAACGAUGGAUACUGGGUGUGGGCGGAGUCGAAUCUGUCUGUGCCGAAGUUAACGCGUUAAGUAUCCCGCCUGGGGAGUACGGCCGCAAGGCUAAAACUCAAAAGAAUUGACGGGGGCCCGCACAAGCAGCGGAGCAUGUUCUUUAAUUCGAUGCAACGCGAAGAACCUUACCUGGACUUGACAUGGGGCUGCAAGCGCACGGAAACGUGUGACCUUCGAGGGUGCCUCACAGAUGCUGCAUGGCUGUCGU
rnacentral:rRNA from 1 species